UGACCUGUAGCUCAUUUGGUAGAGCAUCGGACUAGUAAACCCAAGGUCGUGGGUUCGAAUCCCAGCCGGGCCAA